AAGUCGGUUGUGAAAGCCUUCCGCUCAACGGAAGAACGGCAUCCGAUACUGCAUGGCUUGAGUGUGGGAGGGGAGAGUGGAACUUCUGGUGGAGCGGUGAAAUGCGCAGAUAUCAGAAGGAACACCGGCGGCGAAGGCGACUCUCUGGUCCAUAACUGACGCUGAGUGUGCGAAAGCUAGGGGAGCAAACGGGAUUAGAUACCCCGGUAGUCCUAGCCGUAAACGAU
rnacentral:rRNA from 1 species